UGAUUCCUGGAAUGCUCGACAAUCUUACCUUCUUUGAACCUACAUUAGACAUCAUGGGAUUCCAAUAUUUUCAGACGGAUGUCAGGCCUCCUUCGAGUGGAAGGCAGAAGUUUGAGUGAGGUUGCCCACCUAGCACGGCUAGGCGUCAAAUAGUAAGAACCGGCAUUUUGGGACCACA
rnacentral:other from 1 species